CUCCAAUUCUAAAAGAGUGGCCAGAAAACCCUGAGGGGUCGAGACAGAGUCUGAUGCACAAAGUUCUGACGUAGCAUAUGAACUUCAUAGUGGUCAAGGGGUUACCAUGUAAUAACAGUUGUGGCGAAUUAGGAUUGAGACCCGCCAGGGUAGAAUGAUAUGUGUCAAAUAAUGUGACGGGGCACCAUUGGUUACUGGUGGGAUAAUAGCAGACUUUGGUAAGUGGACCUAGCUGAUUUGUUUUGGUGUGAUUGAUGGUGAUUACGUAAUGGUCUGUAUCUUUUUGGAGGUUCGUGAUUUUAAGGUGCUGGUGAUAAGACAUGAUGCCAUUGGUGGUGAAUUCAUUUGGUCAUAGGAAACCAUAGAAGGCUAGAUAAGCUGCUGUUUUUAUAACAAGAUUUGUUUUGGUUUCGAAUGGUUUGGAGUCCAGAAUGUCAGAGAGUGCACAAAAUUUGGGAUCGUCUACAGGUAGCCUGGAAGUGGUAGUGGGUUUGUCUAAUUGUUGAAUGCCUUUCAAAAUAUAUUUUAUGAGAUAAGAAGACAUAAAGGGGUUAGUGCUGGGAUAGACGCUAAUGUGAUGUUGAAUUCCUGUGAGAUAUAGUUUUAUGGUGUUUAAUGAUAAUAUUAGAUUAAGGUGGCAAAAGGAGAUGAAUGCAAUAAUAGAGUCCAGUGAAUGAGUGUUGCUUAUCUGAUAGUCUGUCAUGAAUUUAGUGUAUAGGGUGAAUGCUCUAUUGUGUGCCCGUGAUGUGUUAGUAUAGAGGGUUGCACCGGUUACAUAUCUGCUUCGUGAUAGCAGUCUCACUAGUCCAGGAUGAGGUCUUGGUAAGAGGGGGAGCUGACCGGUCUGGUGUUCGCUGUGGGAUGGUCUUUGAAGACCUGUAAAUUAGAUCGAGUCAAUGCGUCAGCGGCUGUAUUGGUGCGUCCUGGGAUGUGUAUGCAAGUGAUAUGGC